AUCUUUUACACGUACACACUUGCUUGUGUGUAGGGUUAACGUUUCUUAUACACAUAAGCAUUUAUUGUAUUUAUAUACGGUUAUACAAAUUUAACCCAAUUCAAUGUUAAAUUUUUUAUUUUAUUCAAUCGUAAAUUGACUACUAGAUAUUUAAAUCUUUAUUUGAAAAAAAAUAAACAAAAAAAACAAGAAUUUUAUUUGAAUUUAACAAAAAAAUAUCUACGUUAGAUAGGCGCUUUUUCUUUGAUUUUUUUCAUUUAUUUGUAGAUGUGUAUCUCCACAAAUACUUAGAAGCCGCUUGUAUUAUAUAGUGUCGUCAAAGUCGGUAGUAAUGCGAGCAGGUCCGUACCUUUAAUCUAUUUCUCCUUUUUCAUUCAGUUUUUUUUUACGAACAAACUACAAAUUUCAUACUAUGUAGAGCGCGACAAAAAUUUUUUUGUAUGUAUUCUUGAUACUUGUGAGUAGACUAAAAAAUAUAUAUGCAUGUAUGAGGAUAUAUAUAUAUUUAUUCAAAAUUGUUCGUGCAAUAUUUUCAAGAUAAAGUAUGCAAUCUAGGUAGUACAUUUAGAAUGUUCUAGAACCUUUACGUUUGGCCUCGUUUCCGGCGCAUGGAUAUACUAAAAGGUGCGCAAUAUCAGGUCUUUUCCAUCAUAUAUAUAUAUAUGUGUGUGUGUGUGUGUAUAUGGGGAUAGAGGUGAUGGUUUCAUUGAAUGACUGAGAGAUUUUUUUUUCGUUAAUGUACUUUUUUUAUUUUACGGAGCACGCGCCGGCAGUCAUCGUGUAAUACACGAGCACGUUUUACUCGAGCGGGAACAGCUGCCGGCGAAACCGUCGCAGGUGAAGAUAUGCUGGGCAGAUGUACCGUUUUUAGGGAAGACCACAAGUCACCACACUUACUCCACUAUGGGCUAGUAGUAGUGUAGAUUCGUCUUUUUUAAAGAAUUACAUUUACAAUUAAUUGGAGUUAGAAAUAAGCUUUUUCCAGCCGUUAAAAUAUGAUAAAAAAAUGUUAUUAAGUACACCUAUUAACAUAUUAGUCU